rnacentral:rRNA from 1 species
UMAACGACUCUCGGCAACGGAUAUCUCGGCUCACGCAUCGAUGAAGAACGUAGCAAAAUGCGAUACUUGGUGUGAAUUGCAGAAUCCCGUGAACCAUCGAGUUUUUGAAMGCAAGUUGCGCCCGAAGCYUUUUGGCUGAGGGCACGUCUGCCUGGGCGUCACAC